rnacentral:rRNA from 1 species
UCAUAUGCUUGUCUCAAAGAUUAAGCCAUGCAUGUGUAAGUAUAAACAUCUUUAUACUGUGAAACUGCGUACAGCUCAUUAUAUCAGUUAUUAUUUAUUUGAUGGUACCUUACUACAUGGAUAACCGUAGUAAUUCUAGAGCUAAUACAUGCGUAAAAUCCCGACCUUGCGGAAUGGGAUGUAUUUAUUAGAUAAAAAAUCAAUGCCCCCUUCUGGGGUGCCUCAUUGGUGACUCAUAGUAACUUUUCGAAUCGCAUGGCUUUGCCGGCGAUAGUUCAUUCAAAUUUCUGCCCUAUCAGCUUCCGACGGUAGUGUAGUGGACUACCGUGGCGUUAACGGGUGACGGAGAAUUAGGGUUCGAUUCCGGAGAGGGAGCCUGAGAAACGGCUACCACAUCCAAGGAAGGCAGCAGGCGCGCAAAUUACCCAAUCCUGAUACAGGGAGGUAGUGACAAAAAAUAACAAUACGGGGCCCUUUGUGGUCGUGUAAUUGGAAUGAGUCUAACUUAAAAACCUUAACGAGGAUC